AUGAAAUGGGAGAUUGAAGGGUUGAAUACAUUGAUCAUGAAAGAGUCACCCUCUGCUUAUUACGUCCAUUGCUUUGCGCAUCAACUUUAAUUGACACUUAUAGCUGUGGCAAAGGAAAAUGAACCAUGUGCAUGAUUUGUUGAUCUUGUUUCUUACCUGCUCAAUAUUGUUGGAGUCACUUGUAAGCAUCAUGACAUUCUUUGAGAUGUUAGAGCUCAAAACAUCUUGGAAGCAAUUGAAAUGGGUGAGAUUGAAAGUGGAACUAGGUUAAAUGAAGAGAUGGGACUAGCUAGACCCGGUGAUACCCGAUGGGGUUCUCAUUUUAAAAUAACUGUGGACACUGUUAGCAUGUAUCCCACAAUCCUUGAAGUACUUGAUAGUGUUGGAGAAGAUCCUUCACAAAAAGGUGAGUGGACAAGAAUACAUGGAGUUACUCUUGACUUUGAAUCAUUUGACUUUGUUUUCAAUCUUCACUUGAUGCUAGUUAUUCUUGGCUACACAAAUGAGUUGUCCAAAUCCUUGCAAAUGAGCAAUCAAGAUAUUGUUGAUGCAAUGACACUUUUUAGUUUGGCAAAGAGUAGAAUGGAACGUAUGGGGUCCUAUGGAUGGGAAGAAUUUAUUGCAAAGAAGACCUUAUUUUGCAACAAACAUGACACUGAAGUUCCUUAUUUGGUGGAUACUUAUGUGGCUCAGGGAAGAUCACACUGGUAUUAUGAAGUACAAAUGAAUGAUGAUCUUUAUAAAAGAUAAGUAUAUCUUGGUAGCGUUGACCAACAUCAAGAGCUUGACAAUCGGUUUGAUGAGGUUAAUAUGGAGUUGCUUAUUUGCAUGUUGGAUUUGAAUCCUCUCAAUUCAUUUGCUUCUUAUGAUGCACUCAAGGUAAUGAGACUUGCUGAAUUCUAUCCCAUGGACAUAUCAAGCACGGAUUUGGAAAGGCUUAAAUUUCAAACUGCCAAUUUUAAUAAUGAUAUGGGACAAGGUGAUAGGUUUAGAUAUGCAAGUAAUAUUGUUGAGUUCUCUAUUAUGAUUGUUGAAACAAAGAGCAUGUUAUUUAUGAUUUGGUCUACUAACUCAUCAAAUUGA
rnacentral:rRNA from 1 species